UGAAAAUGAGGCUGCCUACGUGAACAGGAAGAGGUACCACUCUUUCGACAUCCAAGUUGUGUGUGAUGCUGCUGGUAUGAUCAUCAGCUAUUGUGUCAUUUCCAGGUAAGUGUUCCUUAUUGAUGAUAUCAUUUAUUGUUAGGCAUGUUAAUAGUUAAAUCACAAACAUCCCUUACCUGCUACAGCAUUUCUAAAGUUUGAUUUUUAGCAAGAAUAAUUGCAGAUUAGCUAUUUAGGCAAUGGAACUUGAGCAUUUGAAGAUGCUAAGACUCCACCAGUGUUGGGCACACCAAACAUGCUACAGCUUUUCUCUUGAGUCUGGUAUUUUUUUCCAGUAUUAACAUGUCCAUGUUUUGGAAUCCUUUUUUUUAUUCUCCCCUUUUUAGCAGGGUCAAAUCACGACUCCUUCAUCUGGCACCAUUGCGACCUAUAUGAACGCUUUCGCAGGGGUGAGUUUGGGGACUACCUGCUCCUUGGCGACAGCGGCUAUGCAUUAGAGCCAUUUUUGAUGACUCCAGUCCGCAACCCCACAACAGAACCGGAGGAGCGCUACAAUAGGGCCCAUACACGGACACGUGUCGUUGUGGAGCAAACCUUUGGAAUACUAAAGAGCCGGUUCAGGUGCCUUCACAAAUCUGGGGUGCCUUGCAGUAUGCUCCCAUGAAGUGCCUCAACAUCAUCACCUCAUGUUUACUGCUGCACAACCGCUGUGUCCAGCGGGGUAUUCCACUUCCCCAGCGGGUACAAAUUUAUAUUUCGCUUGAAGAGGAUGAGGAAGAGCAGGAUGCUCCUACUGCUGUUCUUGGAGCAGCUGCUGGCCGAGGAGCUGGAAGAGCAGUACGUGAAGCAAUAAUUGCUAAUUUUUUUGGGUGAAAUGGUGAGGUGUGUAUUUUAUCGG